rnacentral:rRNA from 1 species
CCUACGGGAGGCAGCAGUGGGGAAUAUUGCACAAUGGGGGAAACCCUGAUGCAGCGACGCCGCGUGAGUGAAGAAGUAUUUCGGUAUGUAAAGCUCUAUCAGCAGGAACGAGACAAGACGGUACCUGACUAAGAAGCCCCGGCUAACUACGUGCCAGCAGCCGCGGUAAUACGUAGGGGGCAAGCGUUAUCCGGAUUUACUGGGUGUAAAGGGGGCGCAGACGGCAAUGCAAGCCAGGAGUGAAAGCCCGGGGCCCAACCCCGGGACUGCUCUUGGAACUGCAUGGCUGGAGUACAGGAGGGGCG